rnacentral:rRNA from 1 species
UCGGGAAUUUUGGGGCAAUGGGCGAAAGCCUGACCCAGCAACGCCGCGUGAAGGAUGAAGUAUUUCGGUAUGUAAACUUCGAAAGAAUAGGAAGAAUAAAUGACGGUACUAUUUAUAAGGUCCGGCUAACUACGUGCCAGCAGCCGCGGUAAUACGUAGGGACCAAGCGUUGUUCGGAUUUACUGGGCGUAAAGGGCGCGUAGGCGGCAAUUCAAGUCAUCUGUGAAAUCUCCGGGCUUAACUCGGAACGGUCAGAUGAUACUGCUUUGCUAGAGUGCAGAAGGGGCAAUCGGAAUUCUUGGUGUAGCGGUGAAAUGCGUAGAUAUCAAGAGGAACACCUGAGGCGAAGGCGACUUGCUGGACUUGUAGUGACGCUGAGACGCGAAAGCGUGGGGAGCAAACAGGAUUAGAUACCCCCGUAGUCCCUGAGCGGGCUGGCAAGGCGCAU